AAACAAAAUGCGUAGUAUUUAUUUACUUUCAAUAGCAAAAGUAUUUCCAAAGAGGUCUUUGAAACUAUCCGUUCCCUGAAGUGUGUUUCAAAGCAUAUUUGAUUUACAAACGUUUUAAUUAGCCUAGAACUUUUCAGAAACCCAUUGAUUGUGGAGUGAGGUACAACAGGACAUAACCAUUUUUAAUCUUCCAUAACAAUGACAGCAAUUGCAGUGGUUUUCUCCCAAGAGGCCUCCCUUAAGGAAAUAUUUGAUUGUGAACUGUCAAACUGCCAGAAUUACUGAACUUGGAAUCCAGAGACCAAGGUAAAUAUUAUUACCUCUAUUUUACAAAAGAGGAAAUUAAGGCCCAGUAAAAUUAAAUUACUGGCUCAAGAAAACAAAUAUAGUAGAGCCAGGAUUUGAACCUAGGUGCUUUGGCUCCAAAUCCAGACUGCAUUCACAUUACAAUAUGCUCUUGCAUAUAUCAUAAAAAUACUUCAUAUGUGUCUGGGCUUUCUUAAUUUAUGAAAGUUUCAUAUACAGGUAUCUCUUCCAUAUGACAACCUUCGC
rnacentral:lncRNA from 1 species